rnacentral:rRNA from 1 species
UACGAAGGGGGCUAGCGUUGCUCGGAAUCACUGGGCGUAAAGCGCACGUAGGCGGACUCUUAAGUCGGUGGUGAAAUCCUGGAGCUCAACUCCAGAACUGCCUUCGAUACUGAGAGUCUUGAGUCCGGGAGAGGUGAGUGGAACUGCGAGUGUAGAGGUGAAAUUCGUAGAUAUUCGCAAGAACACCAGUGGCGAAGGCGGCUCACUGGCCCGGUACUGACGCUGAGGUGCGAAAGCCAGGGGAGCAAACGGG